ensembl:snRNA U6 U6 spliceosomal RNA
GUGCUCGCUUUGGCAGCACAUGUACCAGAAUUGGAACGAUACAGAGAAGAUUAGCAUGGCCCUUGCUCAGGCAUGACAUGCACAUUUGUGAAGCGUUCCAUAUUUUA